AGGUUCUGUUAAUGCUGAUAUAUAGUGACAUAGUUACAUGGGUGAUUAAUCCUUUUGAUUUUUUGUCUUUAACUUUAUCAAUAAAACAGCUGCAGCUUUCACUACAGCACAUGUGGUACUUUAACCUUUGUACUGUUUUCAUCAGUUCAUUUUGCAGUUAACAUGUGAACAUGUUGGAUGAUCUGUCUGCUGUCACUGGGUGGUGCUGAGGUCUGAAUCUGAGGGCAGCUCCUGUAAUCAGAAAGAGAACAGAACCAUCAAACCCAAAUAUAAAUUUUAUCCCUCAAAAUUGAAAUAAAGCUGAUUCUUCUCUGUCCUCACACACCCAGGAUCUGAAGCUCUUCUCUUACAUUUUUUUCAGUAUUACAGUACAGUACAGUACUUCAAUCCAUAGUUACUGAUUAAUGAGGAGUUACUGAAUUUAACUGGAAUUCUGUACACUGAAAAACAAACAACACAUAAAAAACACAAACAAACAGCCAGGGCCUUCAUCUGUCCAUUAAAUGUCAAACAUCGCACUGACCCAUAGUCCCUGCUUGUCAGCACAUGCUUUUGAAAAGCAUGUCCUCUGAAAACUGAAAAACAAAGAGGAAGAAGUCCCUCUACACAAAAACACUGCAGAUGACAGGCCAACUAAACAUCUAUUGAUCUGUCUGAAUGCCUCCUCAUCAUGUGAGCCUUGAAAUUUUUUUUGUAAGAAGAGUAAAACCACAGUGAGGGCAUUUCAUUUUCAUGGACUUUCCACAAGCCACAGUUUCAUUUAGCGCAGAGGGUAGAGCACAUGAAUGUUCUACUGAAGAUUCAGAAAAUGGUUUAGAUGCUGGAGACAAGACAUCGAGAGGGAGAUGGGACUCCAUGGAGAGUGCAACGGGAGAGAGGCGGGGCUCCUCGGAGAGUUCAGUGGGGAGCAGUCCUGAAUGCUGACAUGACAAUAAUUGCCUUGUCAUAUCCCCAUGCUGUAUGAUUGUCAUGGUACAGACAGGGCAGUGAAAGUGCACCGACAUAUCAUUUUGUCUGUAAGAGAGAAAAAAAAGAAAGAAAAAACAACAACAUGUAAUGUAAAUGCAGUUGUAUAGAAUAUAAUCAGUUUAUCUAACAAUCAGAUUGUACAUAUUAACAAAAAUAUCCAAGCCAUCCUCAAUAAUGAAAGCAAAAUGGUAUGGAUCACAAGAGCUGUC
ensembl:lncRNA